ACUACGGGAGGCAGCAGUGAGGAAUAUUGGUCAAUGGACGCAAGUCUGAACCAGCCAUGCCGCGUGCAGGAUGACGGCUCUAUGAGUUGUAAGCUGCUUUUGUACGAGGGUAAUAUCAGAUACGUGUAUCUGCUUGAAAGUAUGGUACGAAUAAGGAUAGGCUAACUCCGUGCCAGCAGCCGCGGGAAUACGGAGGAGGCAAGCGUUACCCGGAUUUAUUGGGUUUAACGGGUACGUAGGCGGUUUUAUAAGUUAGAGGUGAAAUUUCGGGGCUAAACUCAGGACGUGCCUCUAAUACUGUAUGACUAGAGAAUAGAUGCGGUAGGCAGAAUGUAUGGUGUAGCGGUGAAAUGCGUAGAGAUCAUACAGAACACCGAUUGCGAAGGCAGCUUACCAAACUAUAUCUGACGUUGAGGCACGAAAGCGUGGGGAGCAAACAGGAUUAGAUACCCUUGUAGUC
rnacentral:rRNA from 1 species